CACGUAGGGCGCAAGCGUUGUCCGGAAUUAUUGGGCGUAAAGAGCUCGUAGGUGGUUUGCCACGUCCGCUGUGAAAUCCCAAGGCUUAACCUUGGGCUUGCAGUGGAUACGGGCAGACUAGAGGUAGGUAGGGGAGAAUGGAAUUCCCGGUGUAGCGGUGAAAUGCGCAGAUAUCAGGAGGAACACCGGCGGCGAAGGCGGCCCUCUGGAUCGUUGCUGACGCUGAUACGCGAAAGCGUGGGGAGCAAACAGG
rnacentral:rRNA from 1 species